rnacentral:tRNA from 1 species
GGGAAAGUCGCUCAGUGGUAGAGUGUUUGCCUCACAUGCAAGAGGCCCUGGGUUCGAUUCCUCAGCACCA